rnacentral:rRNA from 1 species
UACGUAGGGUGCAAGCGUUUAAUCGGAAUUACUGGGCGUAAAGCGUGCGCAGGCGGUUUUGUAAGUCUGUCGUGAAAUCCCCGGGCUCAACCUAGGAAUUGCGAUGGAGACUGCAAGGCUAGAAUCUGGCAGAGGGGGGUAGAAUUCCACGUGUAGCAGUGAAAUGCGUAGAGAUGUGGAGGAACACCGAUGGCGAAGGCAGCCCCCUGGGUCAAGAUUGACGCUCAUGCACGAAAGCGUGGGGAGCAAACAGG